GACGUAGGGGGCUAGCGUUGUCCGGAAUCAUUGGGCGUAAAGAGCGUGUAGGCGGCUCGGUAAGUCCGCUGUGAAAGUCCAGGGCUCAACCCUGGAAUGCCAGUGGAAACUGUCGAGCUAGAGUCCGGAAGAGGCGAGUGGAAUUCCUGGUGUAGCGGUGAAAUGCGCAGAUAUCAGGAGGAACACCAAUGGCGAAGGCAGCUCGCUGGGACGGUACUGACGCUGAGACGCGAAAGCGUGGGGAGCAAACAGG
rnacentral:rRNA from 1 species